AAACAUCAGCUUUUUGUAAGGCGGUGCGCCAUUUAACUACAAGUCUGAGAGGAGAAUACCCUCCAUUUUCUCUCAUCCAGAUUUCUCUGUUCAAAGGACAUAUUGAAAGGCUGGAAUUUCCCAUACGUGUAGGAAAUCCCUGAGCGUCACACGUUCUUUCUGCAGAGCACGGAGCUCCUGCGGCUGGAAUGUGAACCCAGAAAAGCCAUUCAGUGAUGGGGAUGGAAAGCUGCCGCUUCCCACUGGGCAUGGCAGGAUCACACGGACCGUCUGACAGCCCACGACAGCCUCGGGGUCCUGUAGCCCAUCGCUGGUCCUGGACAGCCAGCAGUGCCGGCUGGCACAGAAGGAGGCCCUUCUCCCAGAUCCUUCAUUCUCCUGAGGGGAUGACGAUUGCAAGACACAGAGCAGGAUGUGCCAUACAGUGAGCCUCUGUGGUGAGUGUCACACUAACAUUUUCCCUAGAAAUCUCCCUGUUUUUUUUUUUCUUUUUCUGGAAAAAAAUUGUUCCUUAUGUUUUUCCUUGGCCUUUCUGGCUUUUGAAAAGUCAUGGCAAAGCAGUUUAUGCCCUGGAGACCCAGAAGUGCUCCCAUAUUCCUGUUGCGGCUGUACUGCUGUCCAGGUGACUCUGACAAGGCACCUUUCUGUUGGCUGCACUGCCUGGCUGCCUCUGCUUCCCUCUCAGCCAUAGCACACCUUUAUUCCUGCUCAUUCGGUGACACUGCUGAAUUUGAUGUGGUUUGCUCAGGUAGAGAUUUACCUUCAGCUUCCACCACCUUCUCUCAUAGUGGCUUCCAAGUGGAGUCAGGGUUUUCUUGCUCACAGCUUUCCUUUCUCUUCUUCAAAUAUAUGUCUACUUCUAACAGUUCUGUUUGGAUUCCCUCCCUUUACACACUUCUACCCCUUUGACAAGGCUCAUUUUUCAGGACAGAGGUUAUAUUUCUCAUCAAAAUGCUGGCAAAGAUAAGGGCCACAUAGGCCCGUGGACCAGCUGAUGGAAAUUCAUCUAAAUCCCACACUGACGGUUCCCCACCAAUAGCCAAGGCUAUGCAGGCAUGGCUGCGAGCCCAUGAUUCAGCAACUUUCACUGAUUAAUCAAGUCACUUCAUUUUUUAUGCAUGCAAGUUUGCCCAAGGCAGCUGUGUUCAGUCGCUUUCUCGUCAGAAUGUUAGCAGUGCUGCGGAUGUCACAGGGUUUGUGAUAUUGAUAUAAAUACAUAUAGAUAUGCGUAGGUUUCUGAUUAGGUUGAGAUUUUGAAUACUCUUUAGUGGCGUUUGUUCAGUUGAUAGAAUCCCUUCUGCACAUUUACAUGCACGUUGUACCU
rnacentral:lncRNA from 1 species